CAGCCGCCGCGGUAAUACCGGCGGCCCGAGUGGCGGUCACUAUUAUUGGGCUUAAAGCGUCCGUAGCCGGGUUGGGAAGUCCUCCGGGAAAUCUGGCCGCUUAAAGGUCAGAAUGCCGGAGGAUACUCCCAGCCUAGGGAGCGGGGGAGGCCGAGGGUAUUCCCGGAGUAGGGGGGAAAUCCUAUAAUCCCGGGAGGACCACCUGUGGCGAAGGCGCUCGGCUGGAACGCGUCCGACGGUGAGGGACGAAGGCCAGGGGAGCAAACCGGAUUAGAUACCCGGGUAGUCCUGGCUGUAAACGAUGCGGACUUUGUGUCGGACAAGCUAUGAGCUUGUCCGGUGCCGGAGGGAAACCGUUAAGUCCGCCGCCUGGGGAGUACGGCCGCAAGGCUGAAACUUAAAGGAAUUGGCGGG
rnacentral:rRNA from 1 species